AAUGCCACUCCACUUAAAUUGGCUGCCGUUUCUUUUCCUUUGCUCCGCCUGAACAACCUAUCUGCUAAGUCUGCUCCUCUUCAAGUUUUGAUUGUUGUCGGUAACUAGUUUUCCUCUUACUCUCUAUUUUCCCCACUAAUUUUAUAUCUUCAUUCUGUUUUCGAACAAUAUUAGGUAGAUUAGCUUCCCUAAAUGCAUCAUUUUUUCAACUAUAUUUAGGUAUAAAUAUAUGCAAACCGAAAUCUUUUUGUUUUUAUAUUAUAUGAUUUUGAUUGUAAUGUAAAAAAAUGGCUUCACAAAAGAGUCAGCAGCAAGUACCAGUUAAUGGUAACCCGUCUGCCGCAUGAAGCCUAAAUAAACCAAUAUCCAAAAUGAAGACCCAUGAGAUUCAUUAUUAUUUCAUGACACAAUAUUUUUUGGUACAUUAAAAUUGUUUUCAGAAUUUCUGUAUAAUUUUGAUUAUUGGAGGAGGACAGGCACUUCUCAGACAACGGGGGUUUAUUUAUUUCUAUAAAAAACUACCUUUUGCACGGUGCCUACAAAAAGCUGCUUAUCACGAUUGGAGGGUGUUCUGCUUUUUUUGCUAAGCAUUCCUUCAAAUUAAAAGUAGCCAAAUUAUUUGUGUUAAUUUUCCUCCUUUAUUAGGCGAUGAUGAGUUGCUAACACGUAAGAAGAUCUAAUUUAAGCUUGGAUCAGCUUGGAUCUUCGAUGAAAUUCACUUGUUACGCUUGGCUUCUGAGCUUUGUCUAUUAAAUGGUUAUUUAUUUUUAAAGUCCGAGUUACAAAACCUGAUGAUAAAAGCAGGGAUCAAUUGCCUUAUUUGUGAAUUGGUCUCUCGUAAACGUCAGGGAAAUCAGAAUUGCAUUGUUAUUGGGUGAACCACUUGACCAUUUUCAUGAUGGAAUGGUUCAGUAAACGAUGAUACAUAUUUAUUCUAGAUACUAUUGUUUUUGUUGUGCUAGAUGUCUACUGAUUAAUGCUUGUGUCCAAAGUUGAAGAUAACAGCUGUUUUAGGUGUUUAGCUCAUACUGUUUUAGCAGUUUAGCAAAUUCAGCUGAGCAAUUUCCUAUGCCAUAAGUUCUACACCAUUAGACAGUCUCGAGAUCACAUAUUUCCUAUGUUUACUUUUUUUCCUGGAGUAUUCACUGCUUACGGCUUGCGGGGCAUUGCCAGAUAUAGUCCGAUGAUUAACAAUUUAACAAUAGCAAACCAACCUUGAUUAUGGUAGUGUACUUAUCUUGAGAUGUCGAGCGGAUUAUACAAAGAAGUAGCUCCAAAAGACUACAGAUCAGUGUGAUUUGGGAUUUAGCUACAUUGCUGCAUUUCAGUUGUCAUAUCAUUGAGAUUUGGGAUUCGACUAAAAUGUAGGUAAAAUUUAUGUUUAAAUAUAUAUUUGUCAAAUAAAACCCAAGUUUUAUUGUUGCACUUUAAAGUUUGACCACGUAUGCUUAAAGAUUUCUAUUGCACCCCUUAAUUAGCAGCCACCACGUUUCAUAAAUAAAGGAAAAAACUGAAAAAACCUUUGUCCCAAAACAUCCUUCUAAUGUUCCCAAAGAAAAAAAGAAAAAUGCAUAAAAGAAAAAACCCUGCAUACGAAUUUCAGAUUAAAGCUCAAACCCAAAGCAUGAUUAAAGCAAAUUUUAACUCAAUCAUAAUCAUGAAUUCAAACUAAUUUUUAGGUCCUGAAACGCCAAAAUCAACAAGCUCCAAUUAAAUUUUUAAGUUUUUCCAAAAUGUCAAUAAUGGUGAUUUUUACAAGACUCAAAAGUUCCUUUGUUCUUUUUAGUCUUCGGGGUUGGAGAGACAAAACAAGAGCAGAUAGGGUGGGGAUUGGCGAAGAAGAUGAAACCCAUGAGGAAACGCUGUGGUUUUGAGGGUUUUGAGAAGGAAUACAUGAGUUAUGUUUUUUUCUUUUAUUUGAAACCGAAAUUAUUUAAAAAAGGGAAAAAUUAAAAAAACUAAGUUUGAGUAUUUUUCCUCCCUCCUACGACAUGAUUUUUAGCUUUCCAUGUGCUUGUUUUAUGUGUUACAUGUGUAACAGGUGUAUAAGAAGGAUUUGGUGACAAGGUCGAAUUUUGCCUUAUUCUCUAUUGACAUUUUUUCCAAGUAAUACUAUAAUAAAGACUUUAUUAC